CAUGCGCAACCAAGACCCCUCUCUUCUCCAGUGGAAUCGCUGCAACUGCUCGCUUUAAUACAACGCCAUCACCCUCUCACGUUCCUAAACAUCCGUCUUUUAUGGAGACAGCAACUUUUUCGAUAUUAAGACGCUAAAUACUUUUUCAUUUUAGUUGGGAAAUCUCCGCUUUGUAAGUCGUAAAACCGUGGUUGCUUCAGCCUCUUUCCUUGCGGAUUAUCUUCGUUUCUAUCCAGUCGCUCCUGAUUUCCUUUGCAGUCUCCAGUCUCACUCUUCCUUAGCAGCCACUGCAAGAGAUUCUGUAGAGAGAUUUGAUUAUGGACCUAGAUGACCUAGGGCUAGAUGGACCAAGCAAGGUUCCUUCUCGGGUUAGCAGGUUUGCUCCCGGCAGAGGCCUCAAGCCUAAGGCGAAACCUAAGCAGGAAUCGGCGCCCAAAGAAGAACAACAUGAAUCGGCGCCGAAACAAGAAGCGGAACAACUCGGGAAAGAGAGCGAGUUAAAAGGAAAAGUUUUCCAACCUACAGUGAGCAUCGGUUUGCCCAAGACUGAAUCUUGCAUCCCCGAUGCCAGUGGUGCCGUCAAAAUGGAGAUUGAAACCAAAAUGGAGGCCAGAGGGGAGCUGGUAUAUGAUGAACCAAUGGAUGAAGACCACCAGGAGCAACCAGAACAAGAAGAUGAACCUGUUGAAGAAGAUAUAGUCGUUCGUGAAAUUGAAGUUUUCUUUAAUCAUCCUGUCAAUGACGACAAUAAGCUAUAUGUUAUGCAAUAUCCUCUCAGAGCAUGCUGGCGUCCUUAUGAAUUAGAUGAGCGUUGCGAAGAGGUAAGGGUGAAACCUGCAACAGCAGAAGUGGAAAUUGAUUUGUCCAUUGAUGUCAAUUCCAAGAAUUACGAUAGUGAUUUUGGGAGCAAACUGAAGAUGACUAAGCAGACAUUGUCUUCGUCAUGGGAGCUUCCUCGCUCUACUGGCUUUGCUCUCGGGGUUCUUGUUGGUGAUAAGUUUUUUUGUGGUAGCUCAAUCCCUCCCAUCCAAGCAGCUCAUCGAAAAUUGAUUCCUGUUUGACCCAAGAUAAUUCCAUGAGGUCGAGAAUAGUAGACCAGAGGUUGUGAUUGACCGGACAUCCCAUGACUCAAUCCUUCCCAUGCAAGCAGCUCAUCCAAAAUUGAUUCAUGUUUGACCCAAGAUAAUCCCAUGAGGCCGAGAAUAGUAGACCAGAGGCUGUGAGAGAUCGGACAUCACAAG